UACGUAGGGUGCAAGCGUUGUCCGGAAUUAUUGGGCGUAAAGAGCUCGUAGGCGGUCUGUCGCGUCGGAUGUGAAAAUCCAGGGCUCAACCCUGGACCUGCAUUCGAUACGGGCAGACUAGAGUUCGGUAGGGGAGACUGGAAUUCCUGGUGUAGCGGUGAAAUGCGCAGAUAUCAGGAGGAACACCAAUGGCGAAGGCAGCUCGCUGGGACGGUACUGACGCUGAGGCGCGAAAGCGUGGGGAGCAAACAGG
rnacentral:rRNA from 1 species